UAGCUCAGACGGUAAAGCAUCUGUCUGCAAUGCAGGAGACCCGGGUUCGAUCCCUGG
rnacentral:tRNA from 1 species